UUCCAAGAGUAUCACGCUGAUGUUGUUGGUUCUGGUACUGGGUCCGUUAAGGCUCUAAAUGCUCUGCUGUUUGCUUGUAUUUUGGCUAAGAAUUAUGGGGAGGUGAAGAGAAUUUUUCUCGAGUUCCCUAAGUCUUAUAGUAUUGAACCGAAUUUGGAUACUUAUAAUAAGGUUAUCAAGGCAUUUUGUGAGUCUGGGAGUUCCAGUUCUGGUUAUUCCGUUUUAGCAGAGAUGGAUACGAAGCGGGUGAAGCCAAAUGCGACCACUUUUGGAAAUUUGCUUGCUGGGUUUUAUAGAGAGGAGAAGUUUAAAGAUGUAGGGGAAGUAUUGGAAAUGAUGAAGGAGAAAUAUGGAAUUCUCCCUGGGGUUAGUACUUAUAAUAUUAGGAUUCAAAGUUUGUGUAAGCUCAAGAGAUCUGCUGAGGCGA
rnacentral:misc_RNA from 1 species